AGUGAACGCUGGCGGUAGGCCUAACACAUGCAAGUCGAACGGCAGCACAGUAAGAGCUUGCUCUUACGGGUGGCGAGUGGCGGACGGGUGAGGAAUACAUCGGAAUCUACUUUUUCGUGGGGGAUAACGUAGGGAAACUUACGCUAAUACCGCAUACGACCUACGGGUGAAAGCAGGGGAUCUUCGGACCUUGCGCGAUUGAAUGAGCCGAUGUCGGAUUAGCUAGUUGGCGGGGUAAAGGCCCACCAAGGCGACGAUCCGUAGCUGGUCUGAGAGGAUGAUCAGCCACACUGAGACUGAGGCACGGUCCAGACUCCUACGGGAGGCAACAGUGGGGAAUAUUGGACGAUGGGCGCAAGCCUGAUCCAGCCAUACCGCGUGGGUGAAGAAGGCCUUCGGGUUGUAAAGCCCUUUUGUUGGGAAAGAAAAGCAGCAGGUUAAUACCCCGCUGUUCUGACGGUACCCAAAGAAUAAGCACCGGCUGACUUCGUG
rnacentral:rRNA from 1 species